rnacentral:rRNA from 1 species
AUACGGAGGGUCCGAGCGUUAAUCGGAAUUACUGGGCGUAAAGCGCGCGUAGGUGGUUCAGUCAGUCAGAUGUGAAAGCCCCGGGCUCAACCUGGGAACUGCACCUGAUACUGCUGAGCUAGAGUACGGUAGAGGGCAGUGGAAUUUCCGGUGUAGCGGUGAAAUGCGUAGAGAUCGGAAGGAACACCAGUGGCGAAGGCGACUGCCUGGACUGAUACUGACACUGAGGUGCGAAAGCGUGGGCAGCAAACAGGAUUAGAUACCCUGGUAGUCCACGCCGUAAACGAUGUCAACUAGCCGUUGGGGGACUUGAUCCUUUAGUGGCGAAGCUAACGCGAUAAGUUGACCGCCUGGGGAGUACGGCCGCAAGGUUAAAACUCAAAUGAAUUGACGGGG